rnacentral:snoRNA from 1 species
GCUCUGUGAUGAACCCCAUGCGUGUCAUCUGAGCCUGGCUUCCCUGUCAUCUCAGCCCAGGUAGUGUUCUACUUCCCAAGGCUGUUGUCUGGCCUGGAAAAGGGGGAUCUCCAGGCAAAGGAUCAACCUUUGUAGUCUGAGAGC